UACGGGGGGGGGCAAGCGUUGUUCGGAAUUACUGGGCGUAAAGUGUGCGCAGGCGGCCGAGCAAGUCGAGUGUGAAAUCCCCGGGCUUAACCUGGGAAUGGCGAUGGAGACUGCAAGGCUAGAGUUUGGCAGAGGGGGGUAGAAUUCCACGUGUAGCAGUGAAAUGCGUAGAGAUGUGGAGGAACACCGAUGGCGAAGGCAGCCCCCUGGGUCAAAACUGACGCUCAUGCACGAAAGCGUGGGGAGCAAACAGG
rnacentral:rRNA from 1 species